AGACCCGAAACCCGGUGAUCUAGCCAUGGGCAGGUUGAAGGUUGGGUAACACUAACUGGAGGACCGAACCGACUAAUGUUGAAAAAUUAGCGGAUGACCUGUGGCUGGGGGUGAAAGGCCAAUCAAACCGGGAGAUAGCUGGUUCUCCCCGAAAGCUAUUUAGGUAGCGCCUCGUGAAUUCAUCUCCGGGGGUAGAGCACUGUUUCGGCUAGGGGGCCAUCCCGGCUUACCAACCCGAUGCAAACUGCGAAUACCGGAGAAUGUUAUCACGGGAGACACACGGCGGGUGCUAACGUCCGUCGUGAAGAGGGAAACAACCCAGACCGCCAGCUAAGGUCCCAAAGUCAUGGUUAAGUGGGAAACGAUGUGGGAAGGCCCAGACAGCCAGGAUGUUGGCUUAGAAGCAGCCAUCAUUUAAAGAAAGCGUAAUAGCUCACUGGUCGAGUCGGCCUGCGCGGAAGAUGUAACGGGGCUAAACCAUGCACCGAAGCUGCGGCAGCGACGCUGAUGCGUUGUUGGGUAGGGGAGCGUUCUGUAAGCCUGCGAAGGUGGCCUGUGAGGGUUGCUGGAGGUAUCAGAAGUGCGAAUGCUGACAUAAGUAACGAUAAAGCGGGUGAAAAGCCCGCUCGCCGGAAGACCAAGGGUUCCUGUCCAACGUUAAUCGGGGCAGGGUGAGUCGACCCCUAAGGCGAGGCCGAAAGGCGUAGUCGAUGGGAAACGGGUUAAUAUUCCCGUACUUGGUGUUACUGCGAAGGGGGGACGGAGAAGGCUAUGUUGGCCGGGCGACGGUUGUCCCGGUUUAAGCGUGUAGGUGUGUGUUCCAGGUAAAUCCGGUUCACUUUAACACUGAGGCGUGACGACGAGGCACUACGGUGCUGAAGCAACAAAUGCCCUGCUUCCAGGAAAAGCCUCUAAGCAUCAGGUAACAUCAAAUCGUACCCCAAACCGACACAGGUGGUCAGGUAGAGAAUACCAAGGCGCUUGAGAGAACUCGGGUGAAGGAACUAGGCAAAAUGGUGCCGUAACUUCGGGAGAAGGCACGCUGACACGUAGGUGAAGUGAUUUACUCAUGGAGCUGAAGUCAGUCGAAGAUACCAGCUGGCUGCAACUGUUUAUUAAAAACACAGCACUGUGCAAACACGAAAGUGGACGUAUACGGUGUGACGCCUGCCCGGUGCCGGAAGGUUAAUUGAUGGGGUCAGCGCAAGCGAAGCUCCUGAUCGAAGCCCCGGUAAACGGCGGCCGUAACUAUAACGGUCCUAAGGUAGCGAAAUUCCUUGUCGGGUAAGUUCCGACCUGCACGAAUGGCGUAAUGAUGGCCAGGCUGUCUCCACCCGAGACUCAGUGAAAUUGAACUCGCUGUGAAGAUGCAGUGUACCCGCGGCAAGACGGAAAGACCCCGUGAACCUUUACUAUAGCUUGACACUGAACAUUGAGCCUUGAUGUGUAGGAUAGGUGGGAGGCUUUGAAGCGUGGACGCCAGUCUGCGUGGAGCCGACCUUGAAAUACCACCCUUUAAUGUUUGAUGUUCUAACGUGGACCCGUUACCCGGGUUGCGGACAGUGUCUGGUGGGUAGUUUGACUGGGGCGGUCUCCUCCUAAAGAGUAACGGAGGAGCACGAAGGUUGGCUAAUCCUGGUCGGACAUCAGGAGGUUAGUGCAAUGGCAUAAGCCAGCUUGACUGCGAGCGUGACGGCGCGAGCAGGUGCGAAAGCAGGUCAUAGUGAUCCGGUGGUUCUGAAUGGAAGGGCCAUCGCUCAACGGAUAAAAGGUACUCCGGGGAUAACAGGCUGAUACCGCCCAAGAGUUCAUAUCGACGGCGGUGUUUGGCACCUCGAUGUCGGCUCAUCACAUCCUGGGGCUGAAGUAGGUCCCAAGGGUAUGGCUGUUCGCCAUUUAAAGUGGUACGCGAGCUGGGUUUAGAACGUCGUGAGACAGUUCGGUCCCUAUCUGCCGUGGGCGCUGGAGAACUGAGGGGGGCUGCUCCUAGUACGAGAGGACCGGAGUGGACGCAUCACUGGUGUUCGGGUUGUCAUGCCAAUGGCACUGCCCGGUAGCUAAAUGCGGAAGAGAUAAGUGCUGAAAGCAUCUAAGCACGAAACUUGCCCCGAGAUGAGUUCUCCCUGAGACUUAGAGUCUCCUGAAGGAACGUUGAAGACGACGACGUUGAUAGGCCGGGUGUGUAAGCGCAGCGAUGCGUUGAGCUAACCGGUACUAAUGAACCGUGAGGCUUAACCUUACAACGCCGAAG
rnacentral:rRNA from 1 species